UACGUAGGGUGCAAGCGUUAAUCGGAAUUACUGGGCGUAAAGCGUGCGCAGGCGGUUCGGAAAGAAAGAUGUGAAAUCCCAGGGCUUAACCUUGGAACUGCAUUUUUAACUACCGGGCUAGAGUGUGUCAGAGGGGGGUGGAAUUCCACGUGUAGCAGUGAAAUGCGUAGAGAUGUGGAGGAACACCGAUGGCGAAGGCAGCCCCCUGGGAUGACACUGACGCUCAUGCACGAAAGCGUGGGGAGCAAACAGG
rnacentral:rRNA from 1 species